rnacentral:ribozyme from 13 species
CAAGAACAAGAACAACUCCAACAAUUGUCGCAAACCUCAUAUUUUUCUUUUCUUUUCUUUGUUUUGUUUUCAAUUUCUUU